CUCCCUUUUUUUUUAUCAAAAUCCGGGGUUAUUUUGGUCUUUCUGUCAUGUCUUACACGACCAAUUUUGUGGACGCGAAAUCGCUGAAUUAUUUUCCUUUCCCUCCGUGCUCUGUUUCUCUCUCUUGGGUACGCGCGCCUUUUCGUCGUCUCCUCCGUUUCCGACAUGGAAGAUAAACUGGUUCUUGCUUUUGGCGCUGUGACCUGUUCUCCUCGCUCUGCACCACCUACGUUUUUGAUGGUGUGCAGAAAUGAGCUGUAAAGCAAAUUGAUGGUUCAUGAGUUAUCCAAGUGUAAGAAGGAAGCUCUGUAUUUGAGAAUAAAUAUAACAUCAAUUGUGAAUA